GCCUGGAUAGCUCAUCUGGUUAGAGUGUGGUGCUGAUAAUGCCAAAGCUGCAGGUUCAAUCCCCGUAUGGGACA